GCAGUGGUGCAAUGGGUAAGUGUGUUUGGCUGCUAACCAGAAGGUUGGUGGUUUGAGCCCACACAGGGAUG
rnacentral:tRNA from 1 species